rnacentral:rRNA from 1 species
AUGAAAAAAGCACAAGAAAAGCUUGGAGCAUUGCUGGGGCAAAACCCUGGCUUGUCCAAAGAUUUCAACAACUGUGUUGACUUCAGCUUGACGCCGGAAGAAUUUGAGGCAGGGUGGUGUGAGCUGAUGAUGAAGUAUGAGGCUAUGACUGACUCCCACUUCAAGAAUCUAUACAAGUACAAAGAGACAUGGGUACCCUGCUACUUCAAGCACCAAUUCUUCCCUUUCUUGCAGUCAACUCAAUGCAGCGAGGGGUUCAACGCUGUCCUUAAGCGAUAUGUGAACCCACACAAGUCCAUUUUGAACUUUGUGAAGCAAUAUCAGAAAAUCCAAACACACAUACAAGUCCGGGAGGGUUCAAAAGACUACAGGACAGGACAUUUACAGACUGAAAUGUGGUCAUCCUGUGUUAGAGAAGCAGGUGUACGGUUCAUAUACUAG